GCCUUUUUUCGCGUGGCCACCGGCUUCCUCUUCAGAUCUCUCCAAAAGGCUUUCCCGGCAUGACGGACUUCCUGUCCGUUCAUCGCGACCCUCCCCCAGUGCCUUUGGAAAAGGACCUUCCUGCCAUGGCCGACGUCCGGUCCAUCCUUCUCAGUCAUCCCUCCAACUUCCUUGCGCAGCGGCCUUCUCGGCACGGCGGACUUCCUGUCCGUUCACCGUCGCCGACCCCCACUGCCAUUGACAAACGACCUUUCCAUCACGGCUGGCUUCCUGUCCGAAUUUCAUUGUCAUCCCCCUACUUCCUACUACCACGAUAAAGUAAUAUCUCGAUGCUUCUGCGGACCAAGCAGAUAUAGCAACCACAAAAAGAAAUAAACUUUUAACGGCGUUUUAAGGAAGUCUUUGACCAAGGAGCAUUCGGGCGAAUGCUCAACGGAUGGAGAAUGGAGCCGGAAGCCCUGCCGUGUUGCAGUUUGAAGCACCCGUGGGUAUGUGCAGAUAUUAAUCCACUCCGUCGGGAGAAAGAGCGCCUGUUUGGUGGAUAGGAGAGUCUCGGGGCCUCUUGGUAGAGACCCCUACGACCAAGCAACGAUUGCCAAGGAGGAGGUGAAAGAAGAGGAGCCCGAGCCCUUUCAGAAGAUCGGUCCAAGUACGAUUGACCGAGUUUGCAACUUAAGUCAUUCACUAGCUUUCAGCGUUUCAGAGCUGAGGUUUGAGGCCCAAGCCACGGAUGGAGCGUUUCUGGCAAAGGCAGGAAGCUCUCACUAGUCCAACAGAAAGAGCACAUUCUUUGCCCGUGCGGGACCCGGACUCCAUUCCUGUGGGCAUGGCUGGUGACACGUCGGAAAAUCUUCCUCGGAUGUAUGUUUCACCGGAGUUUGUUUAAGGAGCACCGAUAGCAACCGCUAGGUUUUCAAAGGCGUAGCAGGCAGAAUAACUCCCAGGAUGCCCGAAAGCCGCUCGGUAUCAGGUCUGCUCGUCGGUCCAUCCGUCCCACGACUAUCGGCACGGACCGGCUGCAGGGCUCUGAACAUCCGUUCAAGUAGAGGGGUUUUUCCCAGCCCUUCCCUGGAAACGCAGGGGUGAACCUGGACCUUUUGCACGCAAAGCAACAGCUCGAACUCGGACUGCGGCCAUCCGUCAGGAGACAAGCAACCUGCUUGCAAAUAGCACUCCUAAGUAAACCAAAAAGUUAAUCUUCCACGUUUGACAUAGAGAAGAAACAAACACGGUUGAGUCGGGGAAUUAUAAAAUUAUUCUCGCUUAACGUUACAUACUUUUAUAAGCAUCUGGUUAAAACAAUCCAAUUUGGCCAAAGUAUUUAGAUGUAAAUACUUUAUUGCAAAGAGAAGGAAUUAAGCGCACGUUAUUUAUAAUUUAUAAUUUAUAAUUAUAUUCAGACCUAGGAAAAACAUUCCACUUGCAUUUCUCAUGACUUAAUUUUAGAAUUCACAAAGAGCUCUUCAUUAAAGGGGAAGAUAUCGUCUAAGUAUUGUCCUCUGGGAUAAAAAAAAGUACGUUACCAUGUUUUCUUCGGGAAUAGGGUGAAAUUGAGGGUGGGGAGCGAUAUUAAAACUAGAAAUCGAUCACGAUCUGAGAUGAUACCCCUCGUAAGCGCUGAUGAGAGCGCGACUUGGCCUUUGCUGUCUGCGACGGUUUAUACAGCCCACUCCCAAACGCUACUUCUGCAAAAGGAAGUCUAGCCUCUGUAGCAGCCGUGUCUUUUCAGCCUCUCUCCAGGAAAGAGAGCUGGGGCAAAACAGAGGAAACAGUUAACACGAAGGUGGGCGCCCAGGGCCCCCUCGGUCAAGAAAACUUGGAACUCAUCUCACGAGGUCACGUGGGAAACAUCUAGCCUGCUACGCUCUGAAUUGAGAUCCACGUUUGGGUCAAGGGUUUUUGGGAAAACCUUUUCUCCUUCCGAAAAUUGUUUUCUUACUUUGUAGAAACAGGCAACUAUACCUGUAAAUUCUGUGGCAAGCAGUACAAGUACUCCACGCCAUCCCAGGAACACGUGGCCCUUCACGCACCAAUCCGUGAGUAUCCAGCUGUGACACAGCAACCGGGGAGACCCCGGGAUCCAGGAUCUUUCAAGGCAGAGGCCAAUCGCACCUCUAAAGCGAUCACGAGGGAUAGAGCAGUACCGGCAUAUCUCCCUGAUAGCUGUCCUUUGGGGAUAUACUUUGAGAGAAGGAGUUGUUCCUAUUUCAGUGCAAAUAGUCAGGCCAGAUUGCCUAUAAUUGUUAAUACUAUAUUAGACCGUAAAUAAAAUUAUACCUGUAUUUUGCAGUUUACACAUUUUUGUCCAUGUAGAUUUUUCAGCUGGACCCAUCACCUGCUUACGGCUUAUAUAAGAUACCGUAGCUGUUUCUUCUCAGUAAA